rnacentral:rRNA from 1 species
UACGUAGGGUGCAAGCGUUGUCCGGAAUUAUUGGGCGUAAAGAGCUCGUAGGCGGUUUGUCACGUCUGCUGUGAAAUCCCGAGGCUCAACCUCGGGCCUGCAGUGGGUACGGGCAGACUGGAGUGCGGUAGGGGAGAAUGGAAUUCCUGGUGUAGCGGUGGAAUGCGCAGAUAUCAGGAGGAACACCGAUGGCGAAGGCAGUUCUCUGGGCCGUAACUGACGCUGAGGCGCGAAAGCGUGGGGAGCGAACAGG